UUGGAGUCCAUGGCUAAGAUUGUGACAAGUGGCAUAACACCAUUGGUUGAAGGAUUCUAUAAAUAGGCACCUUGAGUUGCUCUCAAACCAUUCCAAACAAAUUUGAAGAGUGAAGCACUCUAAGAGGAGGAGCUUACUCUAGAGAGAGAGAAGGAGGUUCGGCAAGAAGGCGGGAAGAAAGCGGCGAAGAAGCGGCGGAGAACGAGCCUCGUCGGAGUUGCGGGUCUUCGCCAGAAUUCGCCAAAAUCAGUCAGCAAAAAAAAACCUAGGCCGUUUGCUGUAAAAUUAUAUCGUCGAAGAGAUAACUCAACAAGGUUCGACGAGCGGCUCUAAAGGAAAGGAGGUAGCUGAAGAAUAAGUUUAAUUUGCUGUCUAUAGCAUGUUUAGAAUAUUUUCAUUUAUAUGCGAACCUAUGUAUGUCUUGGAUAUGUUUAAGACGUUCAGUUAUAUCUUGCGAGAGAUGAUGUCCAUGUAAUUCAUUUUGUAAACGUCUUGAACAAUUUUAUGAUAAAUAAAGUAUUAUGGU